CGAUACCGCUACUGUCGGACCGCGGGCUGCUGAAGGGAGCGAGGAAACCAGCCCGUAGCUGCUGCAGAGGAUGAGCAAACGACCGAGCCCGAAUUCAGCUUCUGCAGCGGAGAACUUUCGCGCCUUUUUCUGAUUUUUUAAACCACCAACGUUCGAUUUGGAAUCCUAACGUUCGCUCCGCUGUUUAACCGCUCCCCGCUUACGCUUCUAACGCCUCGUCAUGUUUUUUACUCUUUAUUUUAUUCAGCACGUGAAGCCCGAGUCGCGAAUAAGCUCCGAAACAGUUCAGCGGGGACGAUAACGUGUCGUUAAAGUGCUUAUUUGUAACACUUGAAGCUUGAAUUUGGGAUUUUUGCUUGUCGGGAAGGCUGAGGAUUUUGAGUCGUUUUUCAGAGGUUGUGCAGCUCUCUGCUGGUUUACAGACACAAAGUGAGGAUCAUGCUGAUGAAGGAGUACAGGAUAUGCAUGCCACUGACAGUGGAGGAGGUUCUCUGGGAAACGUUGCCGAACUGUGACGUCUUUACCUGAGAGGCACUCUGUGUUCCAGAAAGCUGACUUUAACCCUUUCUUGAGCAGUUUCUUGAGCAACCUUAAACCACUUUAGUGCCAGUACAGUUGCUGGCUGUUGAUAUUGUUGUGUAUUAGCAAGAACCUAUGUAUCGAAAUACUUGAUUUAAUAUAUUGUGAUGUUAUUGUUUUUAUAAGCAAUUUUAGAUAUAAACAACUUUAGAUUUGUUUAACACAUUUUAGAUAGAUAGAUAGAUAGAUAGAUAGAUAGAUAGAUAGA
rnacentral:lncRNA from 1 species